rnacentral:rRNA from 1 species
CCUACGGGUGGCAGCAGUGAGGAAUAUUGGUCAAUGGGCGCGAGCCUGAACCAGCCAAGUCGCGUGAGGGAAGAAGGUCCUAGGGAUUGUAAACCUCUUUUGUCGGGGAGCAAAAGACGCCACGCGUGGCGUUCCGAGAGUACCCGAAGAAAAAGCAUCGGCUAACUCCGUGACAGCAGCCGCGGUAAUACGGAGGAUGCGAGCGUUAUCUGGAUUUAAUGGGGUUAAAGGGUGCGCAGGGGGAAGAUCAAGUCAACGGUAAAGUUGAGAGGCUCAACCUCUUCGAGCCGUUGAAACUGGGUUUCUUGAGUGAACGAGAGGAAUGCGGAAUGCGUGGUGUAGCGGUGAAAUGCAUAGAUAUCACGCAGAACUCCGAUUGCGAAGGCAGCAUACCGGCGCUCAACUGACGCUCAUGCACGAAAGUGUGGGUAUCGAACAGGAUUAGAUACCCUUGUAGUC